rnacentral:tRNA from 1 species
GUCUAAUGUAGCCUAGUGUACAUGGCAUCUGCCCGGUAAGCAGAACACUGCGGGUUCGAUUCUCAUCUCUGGACA